rnacentral:rRNA from 1 species
UGGAGAGUUUGAUCCUGGCUCAGGACGAACGCUGGCGGCGUGCUUAACACAUGCAAGUCGAGCGGUAAGGCCCUUCGGGGUACACGAGCGGCGAACGGGUGAGUAACACGUGGGUGAUCUGCCUUGCACUCUGGGAUAAGCCUGGGAAACUGGGUCUAAUACCGGAUAUGAGCCUGAACUGCAUGGUUCGGGUUGGAAAGAUUUAUCGGUGCGAGAUGGGCCCGCGGCCUAUCAGCUUGUUGGUGAGGUAACGGCUCACCAAGGCGACGACGGGUAGCCGGCCUGAGAGGGCGACCGGCCACACUGGGACUGAGACACGGCCCAGACUCCUACGGGAGGCAGCAGUGGGGAAUAUUGCACAAUGGGCGAAAGCCUGAUGCAGCGACGCCGCGUGAGGGAUGACGGCCUUCGGGUUGUAAACCUCUUUCGACAGGGACGAAGCGCAAGUGACGGUACCUGUAGAAGAAGCACCGGCUAACUACGUGCCAGCAGCCGCGGUAAUACGUAGGGUGCGAGCGUUGUCCGGAAUUACUGGGCGUAAAGAGCUUGUAGGCGGUCUGUCACGUCGGUCGUGAAAACUCACAGCUCAACUGUGGGCCUGCGGUCGAUACGGGCAGACUAGAGUACUUCAGGGGAGACUGGAAUUCCUGGUGUAGCGGUGAAAUGCGCAGAUAUCAGGAGGAACACCGGUGGCGAAGGCGGGUCUCUGGGAAGUAACUGACGCUGAGAAGCGAAAGCGUGGGUAGCGAACAGGAUUAGAUACCCUGGUAGUCCACGCCGUAAACGGUGGGUACUAGGUGUGGGUUUCCUUCCACGGGAUCCGUGCCGUAGCUAACGCAUUAAGUACCCCGCCUGGGGAGUACGGCCGCAAGGCUAAAACUCAAAGGAAUUGACGGGGGCCCGCACAAGCGGCGGAGCAUGUGGAUUAAUUCGAUGCAACGCGAAGAACCUUACCUGGGUUUGACAUACACCGGAAAGCCGUAGAGAUACGGCCCCCCCUUGUGGUCG